rnacentral:tRNA from 1 species
GGGCGAAUAACUCAGUUGGAAGAGUGCAACCCUUACAAGGUUGAAGUCACAGGUUCGAGCCCUGUUUCGCCCA